rnacentral:rRNA from 1 species
UAGCAUAUCAAUAAGCGGAGGAAAAGAAACCAACAGGGAUUGCCCUAGUAACGGCGAGUGAAGCGGCAACAGCUCAAAUUUGAAAUCUGGCUCUUUUAGAGUCCGAGUUGUAAUUUGCAGAGGGCGCUUUGGCUUUGGCAGCGGUCCAAGUUCCUUGGAACAGGACGUCACAGAGGGUGAGAAUCCCGUACGUGGUCGCUGGCUAUUGCCGUGUAAAGCCCCUUCGACGAGUCGAGUUGUUUGGGAAUGCAGCUCUAAAUGGGAGGUACAUUUCUUCUAAAGCUAAAUAUUGGCCAGAGACCGAUAGCGCACAAGUAGAGUGAUCGAAAGAUGAAAAGCACUUUGGAAAGAGAGUCAAACAGCACGUGAAAUUGUUGAAAGGGAAGCGCUUGCAGCCAGACUUGCUUACAGUUGCUCAUCCGGGCUUUUGCCCGGUGCACUCUUCUGUAGGCAGGCCAGCAUCAGUUUGGGCGGUAGGAUAAAGGUCUCUGUCACGUACCUCUCUUCGGGGAGGCCUUAUAGGGGAGACGACAUACUACCAGCCUGGACUGAGGUCCGCGCAUCUGCUAGGAUGCUGGCGUAAUGGCUGUAAGCGGCCCGUCUUGAAACACGGACCAAGGAGUCUAACAUCUAUGCGAGUGUUUGGGUGUCAAGCCCGAGCGCGUAAUGAAAGUGAACGGAGGUAGGAACCCGCAAGGGUGCACUAUCGACCGAUCCUGAUGUCUUCGGAAGGAUUUGAGUAAGAGCAUGGCUGUUGGGACCCGAAAGAUGGUGAACUAUGCUUGAAUAGGGUGAAGCCAGAGGAAACUCUGGUGGAGGCUCGCAGCGGUUCUGACGUGCAAAUCGAUCGUCAAAUUUGGGCAUAGGGGCGAAAGACUAAUCGAACUAUCUAGUAGCUGGUUCCUGCCG